UGUGCACGGGAUCAAGAAAUAUAAUUUUCUUUAUAUAUAGAGACAUAUGUUAUGUCGAAAGCAACGAUCAAGGCAAUUUGUUAACAGAUUAGCUCAAAGUAGAACAAAGCCUUAGGCCAGCUGUAAGUCUCGUUUUGCAUGGACUUAGCAAGUGCGCAUUUGCCAACCAUGUUUAUCAAUAAAAAAAUAUAAUAACAAUAUUAUUACAGACAAUACUAGACGGUUAUAUCAGUUGAUUAGUCUAUAAAAGCGGCUUGUAGACCUUCGCUCACGAUCAGUUUCAACGGGCGAGUCGCAUUUGGAGCUUAUUGCAAUUAUGAAGUGGUUUUCGCUGGCUUUCGUCAUGGCUCUGCUCGCGCUGGCAAGCGCCAAUCCGCUGCAGCCGGGCCAUGUGAUCAUCAAUGGGGACUGCAAAGUAUGCAACGUACGCGGCGAUUAAUAGAUUGUUAAGAAAACUUAAAAAAAUAAAUAACCAGCUCUUGUUUAA